ACAUGGGAAAAUAAGUAUUUAUUAAAAAUAAUAUUUGAAGCUGGAAAUAACAUGCCUUGACAGUUUAGAAGAAGAGAUUUGAAAGACUUUUUUUUUUUCAGUUAUUCACACAAACAUCUUACUGUUACCAUAGAUACAGAUCUAUCCAAGGGCAGAGUCCUUCCCAGAGAAACCCACUCCGUCAGCCCCGGGCUCUGCUGCUGAUGUGAGGGCGUGUGGGGAGUGGGAAGGCUCAGGAGCUGCCUUCAGCAAAUCCCCCCGGGUUCUCUGUUUUCCGUAGGUGACAGCAGGGCUAGCUUGGAGGAAUUGGGCCAAACUUGAAACUGGAACAUGCCUGCCCGCCUGCCGCCACAGCCAGCAGAACAGAGCUUCUCCCCCGCCCCGCCACCCCAGGCAGGGAACAAGUCCUCAUUUACCGGCCAAAAUAAAUAUGCUUCCAGUCCAGAGAAAAAAGUGAUUCUGGUUUUUAAGACUUGAAAUCACACGCUAUUGUGGCUGCAGCGUUGUAGUGAGUCUUUUUGUUCUGUGUUCGAUGCAGCGUAUUCUCUGUGGAAAAAAAAAAUAACCUGAGAACAAAACAAAACAGAAAGCACUGGGCAAGUGAGACCCGCCGGAAUUCAAUACAAGGGGAAAACUGAAGGCCCUUCCAUCGAUAUGACUGAGAGAAGAGAGAGGUAUUGAGAAGAAAUGGGGCAAAUUCAGAACCGGCUGGAGUGCAAUAAAGCAAUCUUGGCUCACUGCAGCCUCUGCCUACCGGGUUCAAGUGAUUCUCCUGCCUCAUCUCCCGAGUAGCUGGGAUUACAGGUGCCCAGCACCACACUCAGGGUCUCACUCUGCCACCCAGGCUGGAGUGCAGUGGUGUGAUCUCUGCUCACUGCAGCCUCAACCUCCCAGGUUCAAGGGAUCCUCCUGCCUCAGCGCCCCAAGUAGCUGGGACUAAACGCAUGCAUCACCACGCCCAGCUAGUUUUUGUAUUUUCUGCAGAGAUGGGUUUUCACCAUGUUGCCCAGGAUGAUCUGGAACUGGAUUCAAGUUACCUGCCUGCCUCAGCCUCCCAAAGUGCUAGGAUUACAGGUGUGAGCCACUGUGCCCAGCCUUUAUCUUCAUUUUUAAGUACUUAAACUGUUUUAUAUAUAUCAUUACAAAAGGAAUAUCUACUUGUAAAUAAUUGAAACAACAGAAAAGAAUAAAAAACGAGAGUAAAAAUUUCCAAAAUUCCCAU